GGGGGGAAUAUUGCACAAUGGGCGAAAGCCUGAUGCAGCGACGCCGCGUGAGGGAUGACGGCCUUCGGGUUGUAAACCUCUUUCAGCAGGGACGAAGCGCAAGUGACGGUACCUGCAGAAGAAGCACCGGCUAACUACGUGCCAGCAGCCGCGGUAAUACGUAGGGUGCGAGCGUUGUCCGGAAUUAUUGGGCGUAAAGAGCUCGUAGGCGGUUUGUCGCGUCGGCCGUGAAAACUUGGGGCUUAACUCCAAGCUUGCGGUCGAUACGGGCAGACUUGAGUUCGGCAGGGGAGACUGGAAUUCCUGGCGUAGCGGUGAAAUGCGCAGAUAUCAGGAGGAACACCGGUGGCGAAGGCGGGUCUCUGGGCCGAUACUGACGCUGAGGAGCGAAAGCGUGGGGAGCGAA
rnacentral:rRNA from 1 species